rnacentral:misc_RNA from 1 species
AAAAUAAAAACUUAAUAAAAACUCAGGUCUAAAUACAAAAGAGCCCCUUUUUAUUUGGGCAACCCAAAAGAAAUAGUGCAUACCCGGAUUUUCUUACUGCAACACCGCAAAGGAGGAAAUGUAAACCAAAAAGAGUCUAAGGGCAGAGCUCUUCAAUCCCAAAGGACAAGAAAUGGCACUGAGGCCUAAAGGAGUCCUAGG